rnacentral:rRNA from 1 species
AUUGAACGCUGGCGGCAGGCCUAACACAUGCAAGUCGAGCGGAUGAAGAGAGCUUGCUCUCUGAUUCAGCGGCGGACGGGUGAGUAAUGCCUAGGAAUCUGCCUGGUAGUGGGGGACAACGUCUCGAAAGGGACGCUAAUACCGCAUACGUCCUACGGGAGAAAGCAGGGGACCUUCGGGCCUUGCGCUAUCAGAUGAGCCUAGGUCGGAUUAGCUAGUUGGUGAGGUAAUGGCUCACCAAGGCGACGAUCCGUAACUGGUCUGAGAGGAUGAUCAGUCACACUGGGACUGAGACACGGCCCAGACUCCUACGGGAGGCAGCAGUGGGGAGUAUUGGACAAUGGGCGAAAGCCUGAUCCAGCAAUGCCGCGUGAGUGAUGAAGGCCUUAGCGUUGUAAAGCUCUUUUACCCGGGAUGAUAAUGACGGUACCGAGAGAAGAAGCCCCGGCUAACUCCGUGCCAGCAGCCGCGGUAAUACGGGGGGGGCAAGCGUUGUUCGGAAUUACUGGGCGUAAAGCGGGUGUAGGUGGCUUUGUAAGUCAGAUGUGAAAGCCCAGGGCUCAACCCUGGAAGUGCAUUUGAUACUGCGAAGCUUGAGUGUAGGAGAGGUUACUAGAAUUCUUGGUGUAGUGGUGAAAUACGUAGAUAUCAAGAGGAAUACCGGUGGCGAAGGCGGGUAACUGGCCUAACACUGACACUCAGACCCGAAAGCGUGGGGAUCAAACAGGAUUAGAUACCCUGGUAGUCCACGCCGUAAACGAUGGAUACUUGUUGUUGGAGGUAUUGACCCCUUCAGUGACGAAGCUAACGCGUUAAGUAUCCCGCCUGGGGAGUACGGUCGCAAGAUU